AAGGUUAAAACUCAAAUGAAUUGACGGGGGCCCGCACAAGCGGUGGAGCAUGUGGUUUAAUUCGAUGCAACGCGAAGAACCUUACCUGGUCUUGACAUCCACGGAAGUUUUCAGAGAUGAGAAUGUGCCUUCGGGAACCGUGAGACAGGUGCUGCAUGGCUGUCGUCAGCUCGUGUUGUGAAAUGUUGGGUUAAGUCCCGCAACGAGCGCAACCCUUAUCCUUUGUUGCCAGCGGUCCGGCCGGGAACUCAAAGGAGACUGCCAGUGAUAAACUGGAGGAAGGUGGGGAUGACGUCAAGUCAUCAUGGCCCUUACGACCAGGGCUACACACGUGCUACAAUGGCGCAUACAAAGAGAAGCGACCUCGCGAGAGCAAGCGGACCUCAUAAAGUGCGUCGUAGUCCGGAUUGGAGUCUGCAACUCGACUCCAUGAAGUCGGAAUCGCUAGUAAUCGUGGAUCAGAAUGCCACGGUGAAUACGUUCCCGGGCCUUGUACACACCGCCCGUCACACCAUGGGAGUGGGUUGCAAAAGAAGUAGGUAGCUUAACCUUCGGGAGGGCGCUUACCACUUUGUGAUUCAUGACUGGGGUGAAGUCGUAACAAGGUAACCGUAGGGGAACCUGCGGUUGGAUCACCUCCUUACCUUAAAGAAGC
rnacentral:rRNA from 1 species